GCAUCUAAAAUACACAGAAAGGAAAAGUGAAAGGCAUUAAUUCAUUAAACAACCAGAGCAAUCAGCAGAAGCUGAGCAGCACUUCUCCAGCUGGCAGCAGGGCAAUAGCGACGCACCACGAUCCUGGGACACACUUCAGCCCACACAGCUGAACUAGAGCACGGCUGACACUGACCAUUCCCCUGCUGACAGAACCCUGACCCUUCAACCCAUAACUGCUCCACUGACGCUGCCUACUGAGCAGUGACAUCGGUUCCUUUAGCACAGCCUUGCUGCCUGCAGGCUGUUAAACCAAACCGGGCUCCCUGAGCGCACAUUAGAGAACCACAACUGUUGCACUGCACUAGUUGCAUCCCGCUAUGUAACUACAAGGAACUGCAUGGACUUUAUCUCUGAAAUGACUCUAUUGCUACAGUUAAGUGAUGAAAGCACCGCCGGGACACCCAGAGGAUACAGAUGAAGCAGGUGCCUCGAGCUGCAGAACUGAGCACAAGGCUGCGUUUCAGGUGACUUGGGCCGGGGGCUGUGCUAGCCAAAGGGCCAUGACAAACGUAAAAGGGAAAGCUUCCAAUGCUGGUCCUCCUUGAAGCGAGUGAAAAGAUUCCCAUCAAAAUACACCGAACAUGGACCAGGCUCUUCAAAGGCAAGAAGCACAGUUUUGACAUUGUUUAGAGUACACCGAGAGCCCAGCAAGGUCACCCUUCCUAUUUCAAGGCGAGGUGUUUGAUAGGAGAGGUUUCCUGCAGUGCACGUGUCCACAGAGACUCAAUAUGUCCAUGCCACCCACACUGGCUAGCGUAGGCUUAUUCUUCUCCUCCUACAUUUCCAGAUGGGGCUUCUUGGAAGCCCUGCUGGGCACUGGUGCCACAACUACUAGCAGAGCAUGGAAGGGAGAGAGCUGUGGAGAGGCUGCCAGGAGCUUCCCAACCCAUGGGAAAGUUGCUGCUUCCUUCUGCCCAGUGUACACUGCCAAGCAGGCUGCUUGGUAUCUGCAGCUUGUCCUUGCUGGGAUGUCAAUUAGGACUGGAUCUUGCUGAGCAAUGUGUGACCUGGCUUGGGAUUAGCUAUAAGCACUCCCAUGGGGAAGGGGCAGCCAGAAUAUAAGAACUAGAAAAGCCUAGUUUUGUUGUGUCCCAGUGGGUCAGCGUGGUGACAGCUGGUACUGUUUGAGAUCAAGGAUCGUGCCUAAUGUCAUGACUGCACAUGGUCCCAGCUGACGUGCAGAGCUGAGCAUUGCUGGGACCGUAUCCAGUGUACAGAGACAGAGUUAGUCAGGCUGGAGACCUAGGAGAAGAGGAAACAGAAUAAUUGCUGGAUGAGGAGGAGAUAUAUUCAGCUCCUUUAUUUAAGCUUGUCUUCCUGCAGGAGUGCCAGGCUGUGAUUGCUGAAUGUGAAUUCUGGCCACCAGGGACAACGAAGUGGGAGCUUUUCUAGCAGUUGAUGGAAACUCGAGGAGAAGGUUUAGAGUCAGUGAGUGCUCAUGGAAGGGACUCACAGAGAUGACUGCCAGGCUGGGAGAGUGUCAGUGUGUGUGCUGAGGCGUACCCUGCACUGGGGCAGGUGACAUAGUGUACCUGAGGUCAUUCAAGGGUGAGUUAUCUGGAUUCCCUCAUCAGAAAUGAAAUUCUUGCUGUUGGUCAUUCAUCCCACUCCCACUGCAUAUUGUAGGCAUCUUGAUGAUACCAUGACACAGAAGGUGGUGCAAGGGUGGACGUGCCAAUGAAGGCCCAAGCCACUAUGCCUCACAUCAGAUGGCUCACAUCAUUUAAGUUCUCUACUGCAUAGGUGUCCGCAUCACUACAAUAACAAACCCUACAGGACCAUACAGAUUGGUUCUUCAGGACAUAGGCUGACUUACCAACUGGGUGAGGCAUAGCUCUCAGUUGAGGCAUUGCUCUCAAUGAGUUCUUCUCCUGGUCUGUACAUAUCCAGGGCUGCCCCAGCCCAAGUGUAGCACCUUGCACUUGGCCUUGUUGAACCUCAUUUAGUUCACAGGGGCUCACUUCUUAAGCUUGUCAAGGACCCUCUGGAUGACAUCCCUUCCUUCUGUUGCAUCAGCUGCACCAUACAACUUGGUGUUGUCCGCAAGCUUGAUGAGGGUACGCUUGAUCUGUGCCAUUUGUGAAGAUGCUGAAGAGCUCUGGUCCCAAGACUGACCCCUGGGGAACACCACUCAUCACCUGCUUCCACCUCAAAGGAGUCAUUGACCUCAGCCCUCUGGCUGAACUAUCUAACCAGUUCCAUAUCCACUAAUUCCACAGUUUCCUCUGCCUCACCCGUGGUCUGUUCAGCAGGCUGGUCGCUGACGUUUCCCCAGCUGGCAUGUCUCUGAGCUUAUCCAUUAGCACCAUACCAUCUUAGUAUGUGCAAGUUGGGCUGGAGAUUACUGAGGCUGGGGAUUACCAGAGCUGCUCUGAUGGAAUGCAGUGCAGGCGGUGAUGUCAGUGCUGGUCUCUCGCUGCAAGUGCUGGUCCUUCCCUGGGGAAAGUGGCUGCUGUCUCCACUGAGGCCUGUCACCUCCGGCCACUGCGGUGGGGAGGAGAGGCAGGGUGCAGCUGCAAGUUGGGCAAGAGAUGUUAAUGGAAAACAGAAACAAUUCAGUAUGGAGGUGGUGGGGGAAAUGCUAACAAUGUUACGAGCUGGGAGUUUGUAACAGUCUUGCUAGUGAAGUAACUGCCAGAGAAAUCACUUGGAGUUUUUUAGCCCCCCUCUUUUUUUUUCUUUCUUUGUUUUUCUUCUUUCUCCUGCCUGUCCUCCCCCAACCCUCACCCCUCUGCCUGUGGACACAGAAAUUCUCCAGCUUGUUAUGCUGAGGCCAACAAUAUUCUUCAGCAUUGACACUGUCUGGGGUGAAUCAGGUACACCAAGCAAGAAUCGCAGCCUGGAUUUCCUACAGACUAAGGGAAGGGAAGCUGCUCUGAGGGAGCACACCUUACAUUGCUGCUCGUCUUAUGCUGCCGUUUCAUUUAUAUUUCAGGGGCACUUCCUAACCUUUGCUGAGCAAGGCUUCAGUCUGUUACCCCCUUCCUGCCUAACCUUCCUGCAACGCAAAAAUAAACAAAGAGAAAAAGCUGUGCCAUAUCCCAUUAGCUGAGAUCAAAAUACAGUUCUCUUAUCCCAUCAGCUGCGCUGCCUUUCAGCUGGAUGUGCCAAAUCUAUGUGACUUGCUCACCCCAUCUAUUAUAUUAAUCUCCAGGUCCUAAAGUUAGAGGUGAAACCUGGGCUUCCUGGAUUUUGUCAUUCUCCUUUAACAGAAAGUUUGUAACUGAAUGGCAAACUGUGAGUUGAGGCUGUUUCUUCUCGCCAAACUCUAUAAAAGAUAAUUACUGCUGGAGUUCAAGUGGUGGCAUGUUUUGCAAGAGAUCUAGAAGCCUAGUAUGCAACCUUCCAGAUAGACACUGUAAUUGUGCCUAUGAUUACCCUUCUCCUUCAUUUUAUUUAUUUUAUUAUUUUCCCAGCAAUUUAUUACAUUCACACAUUGAAAACUUGUUGGAAAAUUAAAUAGUCGUUCAAAAAUCUGCUUGUUGUGGUGCACCAGAGAACACGAUUCCUGUAUUCUGAUUUGGAGUCAUUUGCAAAGCUUAUGCACUGGUGGACUCACAAGCUGAGAAGCCUGCUUAUGGCAAUUACGUGAUGGUAGCUUGAUGAAGGCAGAUCUGCAGGUUUCCGGAGGUGUGACUGUAUGUCUGUGCUGUGCAGAGGUCAGAACAAGGAACGCUUUUCAUUAUGGAUUAGAUUCCCUCUGAUGGAAGUCCAUAAGUUUCCUCUUAAAUAUUGACUUUUCAUUGUCUGUGGUGAUAUCUCCUGCAGAUGGGUGCCGGCCUCUUUGCCUGGCCUAAAUUCUAUUGUACUUACCUCAUUACUCUCCUAAUGAUGAUCUGACAAAUGCUUUUGCUUGAUUUACUGGUGAUGUUACAGGUGUUUGGAACACUUGUCGGUACCUUGCUACUACAUGUCCAACCUUUCAAAUGGUGAGGUGCGUUGGCUUCCUUUGCAAAACGUCCUUCUGCAUGUAACCACCGUGGGCUUUAUCACAUGCACCCCAAACUUCCAGAGCUUUGCCCUGAGAUGUCCCCUCCAGCAAAAAACAUCAGGAACUAUGUGCAGAUGUUGAUGUCACUGGAGAAGUCAGCAUCACAUCACAAGGAGAAAUGAGUGAAGAAAUGGCAAGAUGGAGCGGCCUUCCCACUGCUUGUGGAACAUGGAUGGUACAUCAUCAGUCCUGAGAUAGCAGAGCAGAGCCUUCAUCCCACCAAGUUCCUGAGUGCCACGGUCUGCAGCACAGGAAACACAUCAUUUGCAUCUGUCCUAGUAUCCAAACUGCAAAUUGGACCUGAUUAGAAUUCUUCACGGAGCAACACGGACUAAUACAGAACUUCUAUUAUUCUACGUUUCAAUACAACUUCAGGGGAGAUUGCGGGAGCUCUAGAUUGGGGAGGUGGCUUCUCUGUUGGGCUCCUGAGUUCAGAAAGGUGAGCUCUCCCUUCUGUUGCAGAACCUACAAGGUGACCUUAGUAGGUCACUUUGACUUUGUUUUACCCCUCGUUAAAUGUAGGUGAAAAAUACUUGCAAAGUGUCUUUGAGACCAGCUAUCCGAGUGGCCAUUAUUGUGAUCAUAAUAAUUAUUUUGAUUAAAUGAAACCAGCUGAUGCUUGUGCAACACUU